rnacentral:rRNA from 1 species
UACGUAGGGUGCAAGCGUUGUCCGGAAUUAUUGGGCGUAAAGGGCUCGUAGGCGGUCCAUCACGUCGGGAGUGAAAAGCUGGGGCUUAACCCCAGUCCUGCUUCCGAUACGGUUGGACUAGAGGUAUGCAGGGGAGAACGGAAUUCCUGGUGUAGCGGUGGAAUGCGCAGAUAUCAGGAGGAACACCGGUGGCGAAGGCGGUUCUCUGGGCAUUACCUGACGCUGAGGAGCGAAAGCAUGGGGAGCGAACAGG